GAUGAAGAACGUAGCGAAAUGCGAUAAGUAAUGUGAAUUGCAGAAUUCAGUGAAUCAUCGAAUCUUUGAACGCACAUUGCGCCCCCUGGUAUUCCGGGGGGCAUGCCUGUCCGAGCGUCAUUACUACCCUCAAGCUCAGCUUGGUGUUGGGCCCCGCCGCCCCGGCGGGCCCUAAAGUCAGUGGCGGUGCCGUCCGGCUCCGAGCGUAGUAAUUCUUCUCGCUCUGGAGGUCCGGUCGUGUGCUCGCCAGCAACCCCCAAUUUUUUUCAGGUUGACCUCGGAUCAGGUAGGGAUACCCGCUGAACUUAAGCAUAUCAAUAAGCGGAGGA
rnacentral:misc_RNA from 1 species